UGCGAAGGGGGCUAGCGUUGCUCGGAAUCACUGGGCGUAAAGCGCACGUAGGCGGAUUGCUAAGUCAGGGGUGAAAUCCUGGAGCUCAACUCCAGAACUGCCUUUGAUACUGGCGAUCUCGAGUCCGGGAGAGGUGAGUGGAACUGCGAGUGUAGAGGUGAAAUUCGUAGAUAUUCGGAAGAACACCAGUGGCGAAGGCGGCUCACUGGCCCGGUACUGACGCUGAGGUGCGAAAGCGUGGGGAGCAAACAGG
rnacentral:rRNA from 1 species